rnacentral:rRNA from 1 species
GACUGACCUCAAAUCAGGUAGGAC